rnacentral:rRNA from 1 species
GACGAGCGCUGGCGGCGUGCUUAACACAUGCAAGUCGAACGGAAAGGCCCUGCUUGCAGGGUACUCGAGUGGCGAACGGGUGAGUAACACGUGGGUGAUCUGCCCUGCACUUCGGGAUAAGCCUGGGAAACUGGGUCUAAUACCGGAUAGGAGCCAUUUUUAGUGUGAUGGUUGGAAAGUUUUUUCGGUGUAGGAUGAGCUCGCGGCCUAUCAGCUUGUUGGUGGGGUAAUGGCCUACCAAGGCGGCGACGGGCAGCCGGCCUGAGAGGGUGGACGGCCACAUUGGGACUGAGAUACGGCCCAGACUCCUACGGGAGGCAGCAGUGGGGAAUAUUGCACAAUGGGCGCAAGCCUGAUGCAGCGACGCCGCGUGGGGGAUGACGGCCUUCGGGUUGGAAACUCCUUUCGCUAGGGACGAAGCUUUUUGUGACGGUACCUAGAUAAGAAGCACCGGCUAACUACGUG